GGACAAUUUGGCUUCUAAAAUAAGCACCCGUGAGUACUUAAACUUUGAACAAAUUGGACUUUAAAUAAGGAUUUGCGAGCAGAAAGGAAUUGGAUUUAAAAAUUUACUUCAAUUUGGUACUGAAACAGGAAGGUCUAAACAGGAAGUCAGCCUUCCGUUUCUUUGUAGAAAGAACAAAGCAAAGACAACGUAAACUAGAGCUUAGAAAAUCGCUUCCAAAGGAUCAGCUUUCAUCAUUUAAAAUCCUCGAACCCCCCUUCGGCUGCAGGAGAAGAAGGGGGAUCUUUUUUGGACUGUUUAAACCUGCAGAAGUGAGUUUAAAGUAAAGUAACUUUCCACCGUCCUGAUCCUGGAGCGGGGUGUCAGGACUGACGUUUGAAGCUCAUUGACCAGAGACAAAUGUUUUUGACAGAUAGCUAAAAGAAGAGAAACAUAGUGAUUCCACUGUUUCCUUUCGCAUUUUAAAGGAACAAAUAUUGACAAAAUAUCUUAAAAAAGAAACUUUGUUGCAAGAACAACUAGAAGUUUUCCCCCUAGAGGGAGACUGGGAAACUGUAACUAAUUCCAGGGAGCUUGCAGCUGUCACAGAUUACAAUCGUGGGAAAAGGCUUGUGACCUUGUAGGACAAUGAAUUCAGAAGCUCUGUUGUGUGCUCUCUGUAAAAUAAAUGCUCUACUGGAACAGUUAACUGAGAAGACGGAUUUGAUGACUAAUGCGGUCAGAAUUUUUGAACAGGCAGUGGGAAACUAUACGGAGCCCACCCAGGAAUUAAAUCAGGAGUGUGCCCUGACAGAACAGAUGAGAGAAGAGGAUGUUGCGCAAUCUUGGGCGCCAGAGAUGGAGGGAGCUGCGGCCCAGCAGGAACAUGAGCUUUUGGAUUUGACAAAGGAACUUGGUAAAAGCCAGAUUAGGAAAGAUAAAGUUUGGACUGAUUUGGAAAUGGGGGGUUGGAUAGACCCCCCUAUGCAGGGAUGUUUGGACUUUCCGAGUCUGGCAAUGGGCCAUGAGAUGUUUGGAGCUGUGGGGGCUCUCAAUUUUGGAGGGAUUCUGAAAUAUGACUUUAAAUACUACAUGGAGUUUAGUCUGGACUAUGGAAAAGGGGCUGAUUUGUUGAAAAGGGUCAAAAACAUUACCAAGCUGGAGUUCCCACGAGUGAAAGGUGAAUAUGAAGAAGAGCUGCGGAAGGGACAUGGAAGGGACUUAAGGGCCUCGGAUAUAAGGUUACCAGGUUAAUGCGCUAGAUCGAUGGGAUAAAAAGGACUGACAAAACCCGGGACCAGGAGGAAGGGACGCUGGAUGAAGAUUGGAUUGUUUCUAUUUCUUUUUUUUUAUUACUAGGAUUGUUUUAUAAAAUUGAUGACUGUUAGAAAAAUGUUGGAACGAAAUUACUUGGCUCUAGCAAAAAUGUUUAAAGAAUUAGGCAAGAAUAUUAUGGUCAUGAGAAGUGGGU